AGAGUGGAGCUGAAACAAUGGGCUCUGGGAGAGCAGUUGCAGAUGGGAAAGGAGCAGGUGGAGCCUCUUGUUUCCUUUUUGCUCCAGGUUCAACUCCUGAUAGCCAAAGGAGGGACCCCACAGCUGCGGCAGCCCAAACUCCUCUCAGCUUUGCUGCGUGACUUCCUGAGCUGCUGCCUGCAGACAGACGAGGCACAGUGCUGGUCUGCUGAGGAGCUCCUGCAGCAUCAAUUUGUAACAUUGGCCAAGCCUGGCUCCAGCCUAGUGCCACUCAUCCUUUCAGUGAAACAGUGGAAGGAGAGAAGGAUAAUGUUCUAAUCAAUUUAGAACAGUUUUCGCCGUGGCAAUCUUAGAAUAGAAUUGUAGAGUAGGAAUUUAGAGAAGGAUUGUAGAGUAGGAGUGUAGAGUAGGAUUGUAGAGUAGGAAUGUAGAUAAGGAUUGUAGAGCAGGAUUAUAGAGUAGGAUUUUAAAUCAAUAAAGAUUAUGACACCUCAA